CGGCGCGGCGAUAGCUCGUUGAAUAUAUCAGUUUCCAAUGGAUGACUGAAGUUAAGCAACGUUGCGCUUGGAUGGGUGACCGUCUGGGCAAUCGCGUACU
rnacentral:rRNA from 1 species